AAACUUUUGAAAUAAAGCUUACCCAAAAUACUAUUCUAAACAUAAUUUCAAACUUAAUUUAGCCAAAAACACCAUCAAUUUACAAAUCAAACUCUGCCCUAAUUAAAACCCUAAAUGUUAAAAUCAUCCUCAAACUUCACAAUUUCAAGCAGAUAACAACGAUUCAAGGUGUGAUAACAAUGAUUAUAUGAAGAAAAAAACUAAAAAUGGUACGAAAACGGGAUUAAGAAGUCUCGCCGAAACUUUGCAACUCCGGCGAGAGUUUGACGACCACUGGUUACCUCGGGAUGUGGUAGUGUGGUGCAUGAUAAAGAAGAUGAUGAAAAAGAAUAUCUUAUGAUGCAAAAUAUGAUGAUGAUGGAAAGAGGAUGGCACAACUAUUUUGGAGACUCUUACUUUUUAUAUAUUUUUGUCUUAUUAUUGAAAUGUAAAAUAUUCUUUUGUAUGCAAUAAAACUCUUUUUUAUACUAUUUUUGUUCUAAUUUGUAA